AUAAUCAUUGGUAUUGCCAAAGUUUUCCUAUGUCCAGACCAAUGCAAAGGAUUUUUGAUUUAAAAUUUCUUCUAAUCCUUACCACAGCUCUGGGAAGCAUGGGUUACUAUUUCUGUUCCACAGUAUAGUAGGGGAUGCCCUCCAGGAAGGUAAGUCAACUUUACCGAGACCAUAGAAUGAAGGUGCUGAAUAGAGCAAGCAGAUGUGCCACAGGAAACCACCUCCACUGUCAGACCAUAGAAUGAAGGUGCUGGACAGAGGAAGCAGACGUGCCACAGGAAACCACCUCCUCUGUCAGGCUCUGCCUAGAUGCUUUUACAUGCCCCUUUUCCCUAGGUUUUGUUUUCACUUUGGCCUGGUUAUAGAUGUCUCCUGCCAUGUUGAUAGCCGUGAUGGCUACCAACUUGACUACAUCUGAAAUUAAAUUUAAAAAUGGAGGGCACACCAGUCAGGAAUGUUUUGCUUAAUUUGAAGUAGGAAGAUCCAGAUCUUGUAGUGGGAAGGCACAUACCCACUUCUUUGGGAUCCCAGCAUACACUGAAGACCAACAAAUCCAGCCUUGUGCACUAGGCAGCGUCUGUGUUAGACUUUCCGUUCAUAGGCAGCCAUUAGCUGGGCCACAGCCUGUUAAGUCAUUGUAAUAAAUUAUGUAAGUUCUAUAGGCUCUGCUUCUCUAGAGAACCCUGACUAAUAAAGUUGCAUCUUAAAUUUAUUUUAGACUUGACUUGCAUGCAGAAUGAUUCUUUUCUCUGAGUUUUCCAGCAGAUGUGGUUUUCUCCUCACCGCUGCCUUGCGUCUUAUCUCCUCUUUCAUUUUUCUUUGUUUCUAGCCUUCACUUUCCCUUUGACAUUUUACAUUUAUAUAUUUAGGUCAGGUUGUUCUUUCCCUACCAACGUGGAAUUAUCUUACAGUUAAAAAAAUCUUUUAUAUGAAUUUACUCAGUAAAUAUUUAUUAAGUACUGCAUUCUAGGCAUUCUAAUCAACCUUCUCUCAGGUGUCUGAGAGUUCAUGAUCAAGAUCCCUUGGUUAGUUUGUUUUAUAUAGUAUCUGUGUGCUAUCCUUUUCAUGUUCCUUUUGUUAGAAACUUCUUUAAUGUAGUUUUUAUUGAGCUCUGUUUUUUCUAAACUGUUCAAAUUAAAGUAUUACUUUUUUUUUAUGGUCUCUACUUAAAAAAAAAAAAAGCAUUCUUUCAAUUUUAGGAUGCUUUUCACCUACAGGCAGGAGUAUUGGUUUUCUUAAGAAAAUUAUGGUCGAGGCUUGAGCAAACAGGUUGAAUCUCUAGACUUUUGCCAUUUUCCCAAAUCUAGCCAUCCUGAAGCAUGGUUAGAAUUGUGGAGAAACAACAUUGAACUAAUAAGAAAAACUAAGGCAAGAGGAGCCAAGAGAUGCCCACUGUGUUCUCUCUCUAAGCCAUGUACCAAGUGUGGUCUAUGGUUUUGACCGCAGGACUGACUCUACACUUCCUCCCUGCUAAAAACUUUCACUUCUGUUUACAUGAGACAGACUGUGGGCAGGCUGCCCUUGUCCGGGAUAGGAGGGAUUGGUAGUGUACUUGAUCUUCCAGCCUUAGGUCACAGUGACCACACCCAAGCCUCACUGUAUCUACCCUUUCUAUAGAGGUCCUUACUUCUCUUAGGAGGCUGACUUUGUGACUUAACCAGCACAUUUCACCUGCCUGCAAGAAACAAGCACAAAAGGAAGGACAUGGCAGAUGGAGCCAAGCAACCAGAAGCUUUUCAGCACUGGCCUUUGGCACACACUGGACUGUAAGACCUUAUCCUAUGUAAGCAAGGAAUAUCUUGAAGUAAAACACUGAAGAUGAAAGUGUUCAUUACCAUGUUUCUAGAAAGAAAAAGACGAGAUUACAGGUGCUAAAUAUAGUUUUGUAUAU